rnacentral:rRNA from 1 species
UACGUAGGUCCCGAGCGUUGUCCGGAUUUAUUGGGCGUAAAGCGAGCGCAGGUGGUUUAUUAAGUCUGGUGUAAAAGGCAGUAGCUCAACCAUUGUAUGCAUUGGAAACUGGUAGACUUGAGUGCAGGAAAGGAGAGUGGAAUUCCAUGUGUAGCGGUGAAAUGCGUAGAUAUAUGGAGGAACACCGGUGGCGAAAGCGGCUCUCUGGCCUGUAACUGACACUGAGGCUCGAAAGCGUGGGGAGCAAACAGG